CCUACGGGAGGCAGCAGUGAGGAAUAUUGGUCAAUGGGCGCGAGCCUGAACCAGCCAAGUAGCGUGAAGGAUGACUGCCCUACGGAUUGUAAACUUCUUUUAUAAAGGAAUAAAGUGCGGCACGUGUGCCUUUUUGUAUGUACUUUAUGAUUAAGGAUCGGCUAACUCUGUGCCAGCAGCCGCGGUAAUACGGAGGAUCCGAGCGUUAUCCGGAUUUACUGGGUUUAAAGGGAGCGUAGAUGGGUUGUUAAGUCAGUUGUGAACGUCUGAGGCUCAACCGUAAAAUUGCAAUUGAUACUGGCAGUCUUGAGUACAGUUGAGGUAGGCGGAAUUCGUGGUGUAGCGGUGAAAUGCGUAGAUAUCACGAAGAACUCCGAUUGCGAAGGCAGCUUACUAAACUGCCACUGACAUUGAUGCUCGAAAGUGUGGGUAUCAAACAGGAUUAGAUACCCCGGUAGUC
rnacentral:rRNA from 1 species